AUUGAACGCUGGCGGCAGGCCUAACACAUGCAAGUCGAGCGGAGCGGCAGACGGGUGAGUAAUGCCUAGGAAUCUGCCUGGUAGUGGGGGAUAACGUCCGGAAACGGGCGCUAAUACCGCAUACUAUCAGAUUAGCCUAGGUCGGAUUAUCUAGUUGGUGGGGUAAAGGCCUACAAAGGCGCCGAUCCGUAACUGGUCUGAGAGGAUGAUCAGUCAAACUGGAACGGAGACCCGGUCAAGACUCCUAAGGGAUGCAGCAGUGGGGAAUAUUUGACAAUGGGCGAAAGCCUGAUCCAGCCAUGCCGCGUGUGUGAAGAAGGUUUUCGGAUUGUAAAGCCCUUUAAGUUGGGAGGCGUUACCAACAGAAUAAGCACCGGCUAACUUCGUGCCAGCAGCCGCGGUAAUAC
rnacentral:rRNA from 1 species